CUGAUCUUUGGCCCCCAGAAAGCGAAAGGACUUUUAUUCUGUAUUGUUGAUUUUAUUCCGAGCGCAGCAGGCAGCAGGCAGCGGACAAGAUUAAACAACAAUCAAGUAACCAGGACAAAACAACAGUUAAUUUAAAACAAGAAAUAUGAUCCAGCACCAAAGUGAAAUUAUUAAAGGAAAGCACUUCUUCAUAGUUGAGAUGGGCAAAUCGGACAUUUUUCGAAGGGAAGUUUUAGGUUAUCUCCAAAAACAUAGGCCUGGAUGGAUAGAGACGCGCAGUGUAGAAGACUGUGAUGUGAUUCUGGUUUUCUGCCCCAUUGUUUCACGGGCCGGAACCGACAUUGAUGCUGCUUUGAAUGAGCUUAAUACGUAUCCAGCUUCCAAACCAGCUAUAUUCAUGGUGUUCCAUCACACAUUUGAUCGUGAAAAGGCUGUACCGGACAGCGGCACGUAUUUAAACAGGAGAGGUGUACUCGCAGUGGACUGUCUGUUCCAUGAAGACAUGGGGUUGUUGAAAUGCAAAACUAAUGAUGAGGCACUGACCAAAGUUGUUCUCCAUCUCAAGCCUCAGCCUCAAGAUCAACCGAAACUUCGUAAAUAUAUCAUUCAAGCAGUUAUCGCUGCUUUACUUUUCUAUGCAAUUUACAAAUUGCAGUUCAGAUGAUGUGGAACACACACACAAAAGUGCAACGUAUGGUCUGAUAAUGCGAAAGUGAUAGAAGAUAAAUUGCUUCUUAUCAUAUAUAUUAAAUGUAUUUUUUUCAUUUGAUGUAUGCAAAGUAAUAAUUGUGUUUCAUAGCCUGCAUGUGCACUAAUAUUAAGACUUUAGAUUGAAAAGUUCAGUGGCAUGAGUGACCGACAGUUGUAUUACUUCUAUUGUACUCAGGCAUUAAACUAUGGCACAAAUAUAUAAAUAACCAAGUUUUGUGGGGACUUAAUGUUACUGAUCUCUGUAUAAAUAAAGCGAAUCUUGAUUGCAAACGGGUCUCAAAAUUUCUGAAGUAUGCUGCAAAAUUCAAACAUGCUACUUAAGAAUAAGACGUUUUCGGCACACAGGCCUAUCUGUGGUCAAUGAAUAACUAGAGGAAUUAUAUAAUAAGUUUAAAUAUUCAUGACAUGAUCAAAUCCCGCACACCAGGACUUCCUUAAAAAACUUCAACAUCAACAUUCCAACAAAACCAAACUUUUCGACGUCUACGAUUUGUCUAAAGCCCAGGGUAGGUUUAGGGGCGGGGUUUGGCGUACAAAAAAUACGAUUUGCCAACUUGUAAAAUACGUACAUUUUAGCAAAAAUCAUAUCUUACGAAUUUGUACCUCGUAAAAUAUGGCUCGUUAUAUCAGGUUGGGUUCUUCCUGUUGUCUCGCGAGUAAAUGUUGUAUACGUUGUAAAUGUAUAUAUCACGUGGUCGACUGUCAACCAAUAGGGUAAGAGCAACAAAGUGAAAGGACGUUUACUCCGAGACGCAGCGAGCAGCAGGGAAGGUAGAAGAAGAAGAGAGAAAAAUUAACCAAUGCCCAGUAGAGAUGUUCGAACCAAUUGAAGGAAAAUGCUACACCGUAAUCGAGGCUGGCAAGUCAUGCAUUGUGCGAAAGCGGAUUUCAGAUCAUCUUCAAAAGCAAAAACCUUUUUUGAAAGAGGUGCACAGUGUAGAAGACUGUGAUGUGAUUCUGGUUUUCUGCCCCAUUGUUUCACGGGCCGGAACCGACAUUGAUGCUGCUUUGAAUGAGCUUAAUGCAUAUUCAGGAAGGUUGUUGUGAAAUCCUAUGGAGGCAUAUCAGUGGCCUGUGGUAUUCUUUCUGUCGGCUACUUGGCAUAAAGAAGGCUGGUGAACGGACCAGACUGAUAAAUGAAGAUUAAGAAAAAAAUGUCUGGAAAGUAAGAAUGAAAACCUAAAGCAUGAUUUCGAAAAUAUGAAUGAUCCGAUUAAAUAAAACACUUUGUCAAGCAAGCUGAUGUGAUGCAGGGAGAUUGCAUCUUUUUAUUAUAUUGACCACUAUUACAUCUUUUAACAGUAAAAGCUGUAGAAUGUGUUAACUUAUGAUUAGAAUAGAUGCAUGCAAAUAGCUUGAGCAUAAAAUAAUACAAUUAAUUAAUGCAUUAUUAUGGAGACUUUAUAUUCACAAGUAUGGUGUGAUGACUAAAUUACAGAUGCAUUAUUACAUUGUAUGAUAUCUAUAAUGCUGUCAGUCAUCACUCACUGAGUCGGACAUGUAACAAAAUAAAGUGAAGUGACUUAUGACUGUGAA